rnacentral:rRNA from 1 species
AGUCGAGCGGUAACAGAAAGUAGCUUGCUACUUUGCUGACGAGCGGCGGACGGGUGAGUAAUGCUUGGGAACAUGCCUUGAGGUGGGGGACAACAGUUGGAAACGACUGCUAAUACCGCAUAAUGUCUACGGACCAAAGGGGGCUUCGGCUCUCGCCUUUAGAUUGGCCCAAGUGGGAUUAGCUAGUUGGUGAGGUAAUGGCUCACCAAGGCAACGAUCCCUAGCUGGUUUGAGAGGAUGAUCAGCCACACUGGAACUGAGACACGGUCCAGACUCCUACGGGAGGCAGCAGUGGGGAAUAUUGCACAAUGGGCGAAAGCCUGAUGCAGCCAUGCCGCGUGUGUGAAGAAGGCCUUCGGGUUGUAAAGCACUUUCAGUCAGGAGGAAAGGGUGUGAGUUAAUACCUCAUAUCUGUGACGUUACUGACAGAAGAAGCACCGGCUAACUCCGUGCCAGCAGCCGCGGUAAUACGGAGGGUGCGAGCGUUAAUCGUAAUUACUGGGCGUAAAGCGUACGCAGGCGGU